UGAUUUCUAGAGGAACUUGACCCUAUUUCAGAUAUAUUGGCUAGGUCAGGUGUUAUAUCUUCACAUUCAUAUCCAUGAUUUAAAGUAUUGACAUGUGCUGGCUGAUACAGUCUGAUAUGUAUUGGUUUUUGGCUAUACUGACAUGUGGCAUAGGUGGAGUGGCCCAGUAUUGUUGUGAUUAUAAUUUUACUGAUCCAUGCCAGGUGCCCGCCUAUAUUAGCUGAGAUCGGAUCCAGUAGGCACACUAUUGUGAGCACAUUCAGUGUCACAAAAUUUCCCGAGUGCUUAUUCAGUGUGCUUACCUGAUCCGAGCUCAGAGCUCAUAUUAGCCUGUAUCAGCAAGGUAUCCAUGUUUAUUGGUCACUUUGUGCUCAUGUAGACCGAGCUCAUAUUAGCCUGUAUCAGCUAUGUACUCAUGUCAAAACAGACCGAUGCAUGGCUAAUACAGGCUGAUAACAAGCCCAUUAAGUUUUGUAUUUUACUAUAUUGAUUACCUCAUUCAUUGUCCAUUAAUCUUUGUUUGCUUAUUUAUUUAGUAAGGCAACUCAUUUGGUUAAUUGGUUGCA